rnacentral:rRNA from 1 species
GCAAGUCGUAACGAGGUAAGCUUGCUUCUAUGACGUUAGCGGCGGACGGGUGAGUAACACGUGGGCAACCUGCCUGUAAGACUGGGAUAACUCCGGGAAACCGGAGCUAAUACCGGAUAACAUUUUCUCUUGCAUAAGAGAAAAUUGAAAGAUGGUUUCGGCUAUCACUUACAGAUGGGCCCGCGGUGCAUUAGCUAGUUGGUGAGGUAACGGCUCACCAAGGCAACGAUGCAUAGCCGACCUGAGAGGGUGAUCGGCCACACUGGGACUGAGACACGGCCCAGACUCCUACGGGAGGCAGCAGUAGGGAAUCUUCCGCAAUGGACGAAAGUCUGACGGAGCAACGCCGCGUGAGUGAUGAAGGCUUUCGGGUCGUAAAACUCUGUUGUUAGGGAAGAACAAGUACAAGAGUAACUGCUUGUACCUUGACGGUACCUAACCAGAAAGCCACGGCUAACUACGUGCCAGCAGCCGCGGUAAUACGUAGGUGGCAAGCGUUAUCCGGAAUUAUUGGGCGUAAAGCGCGCGCAGGCGGUUUCUUAAGUCUGAUGUGAAAGCCCACGGCUCAACCGUGGAAGGUCAUUGGAAACUGGGGAACUUGAGUGCAGAAGAGAAAAGCGGAAUUCCCCGUGUAGCGGUGAAAUGCGUAGAGAUGUGGAGGAACACCGGUGGCGAAAGCGGCUUUUUGGUCUGUAACUGACGCUGAAGCGCGAAAGCGUGGGGAGCAACCAGGAUUAGAUACCCUGGUAGUCCACGCCGUAAACGAUGAGUGCUAAGUGUUAGAGGGUUUCCGCCCUUUAGUGCU